ensembl:lncRNA
AGCCAUUUCAGCUAACCACGUAUAUAUAGAUGGUGCUUCAGUGGGCCGCCAUCCGCUGGUCUCUCGCUUUUUACAAGGUGCGCGACGGCUGAGGCCUUUCCGCCCUGUGCGAGUUCCUUCAUGGGAUUUAUCUAUUGUGCUGCAAGGUCUAUCAGGACAUCUGUUUGAGCCCUUGGAAACCAUACCGGAUAAAAUCCUGAGCUUGAAGACAGUUCUUCUUAUGGCUUUAUCCUCCCUCAAGAGAGUUGGGGAUUUACAGGCUCUUUCUGUUUCGCCGUCGUGCAUGGACUUUGCACCGGGCUCUGUGAAGGUAUUGCUGCGACCGAGGCCUAAUUAUGUCCCUAAGGUCGAUUCGAACCCCUUUCGUUUUCAGCAGGUGGUCUUGGAGGCUUUACCCCCUGCUGAGACAGGAUCAGGAGAUCUAAGUCUUUGCCCUGUCAGAGCGCUCAAGACUUAUGUCGAUCGAACAGCCCCAUGGCGUGAGUCCGACCAGCUGUUUGUCUGUUUUGGACACAAGAAUAGAGGCCAUGCUGUCACGAAGCAACGCAUGUCCCAUUGGUUGGUGGAGGCAAUAUCUUUAGCCUAUGAGGCGUGCGGUCUUGCUUCGCCUCUAGGAGUUAGAGCUCAUUCCACUAGAGCAGUUGCUUCUUCUCAGGCUGUCCUCAGUGGAUCUUCUAUGACUGAUAUCUGUGCUGCGGCAGGAUGGUCCUCACCGAACACUUUUAUCAAGUUUUACAGUCUGGAUGUAAGGACGGCUCCUGGCUCCCGGGUUCUCUCCGCUUGAGCAGAUGCUUCCUUGGAUCCCAGCUAUCAGAAAAGCCUGACAUCACCACCCAUUUUUACAGUAAACCAGAACUCAUAAUUACCGUCUGUAAUCUGGGAAUUUUCUGAGAGCUUCUACUUUUAUCACGUGACUCUACGCACAGUCCCCGGUCCAAGGACAUGAACAGCUCUAAGUAGAACAUGGUGUGAACACAGUUUAUGAUCUUGAGUAUUUGACAACAGCAUUAUCUAACUGACUUGAUAAUGUCUUUAUCGAUCUGUUUCUUCCUCUGUUAGGAUGCAGCUGACGAGACAGACUCCAGUAAGAGUCCUCAGCGUUGAUCAGACUGAUUUAUGCCCUCCACCUGGACUAAGUGUUUGAAAAGCACUUUAUAUUUUAUUCAGCAGGUAAUUCUCAACCUCGGAAAAGAUGAGUUAGCACCUAAUAUUCAGUACUGCCAAUAUUGUGAACUCAGAGGGGAAUAAAUCCAUAUAGUUUUGAUGCUGUUUGUUGUGAUUCUGAGAUAAACUGUUUUAUGUUUGUUUGUUAAACUAGUUUUUUUUUUUUUUUCAUGUUUUAUGGGGA